AUGAAGCUUCCCCGACCAAAGUCAUCCAUGACUACUGAACAGAGCAGUUUUAACAUGCUCCCUCUUACCCCCUCUUUUCACAUUGGAGGAAUUGGAGGAUCAUCUUUGGGGCCUCAAUUUGUUUCUGAGGCACUUGCGUCUGAUAACCCCCCAUUGAAGAUACGAUUUAUUAACAACACCGACCCUGCUGGAAUUGAUCAUCAAAUUGCUCAACUAGGGGAGGAAAUUAAAUCUACUCUUGUAAUUCUAAUCUCUAAGAGUGGUGGUACACCUGAAACCCGGAAUGGUCUACUAGAAGAACAAAAGGCCUUCAGAGAUGCUGGACUGGAUUUUUCAAAACAGAUGCUGAUGCCAUCCUAUCAGGGUUGUGAGCGGCACUACCAUACUGCAAGGGGUCUGGAACGCGGGUAUUUUGGAACGGCAACUUCACCAUCUAUAUGGCCAUACAAGUCCCCACAUAACAAGUCAGCAUGGGUUCAGAUAACUUUGAAAACAGAUUCAGCAAAGGCACAUAGGGGGCAUCAAGUUAUUUUGGCUGCAACAGCAAGACCCUGCCAUGCCAAGUCCUUGGAGGCAUAUGGUUUCGUAGGGUCCAUCAUGCCGCCUAUGCUGUGCUUGCGCACAUCGUGUCCGCAUAUGCUCCGGAGCCGUGACUCCUCCAUCGGCGCCACUGGCUAUCCCAAGUACUCGCCUUCUCCUCCUCCCACCAUGACUACGGUUGAACAAUCGAGGAGGCCGAGGGAUGACUAUAUUGGGGUCGUGAUGGAUUGGCUGAUGGAUGUGAUUGAUGAGUUCAAACUUCUGGCUGACACACUUUACCUUCUGAUUCAUAUAUUGGCCAAUUCCUCGCAGCGGGACAAGUUGAGUUUCUUGGUGUCGCUUCAUUACUUGUUGCUGUUUUGCCCAUGUUGCAAGAUCUUAGGACCUCUCAUGUUUGGGAUUCCUCCUUUCUACUUUGUUAGAAUACAAUUGCAGGAAUCACAGCAAGCAGGACUAGGUAGUUGUCCGGCAAGACCGGCCGCAGAGGUGAAACUGAGCAGCACCGUAGUUGGUCGUAACCUACAGAGCGCCCGCGUCCAGCACAAAAGGAGAUCCAGGAAGGAGGCGAGUCUGUCCCACGGCGUCGCUGUCCAGAGGAGCACAUAUGAUCCUCAUAAUAGCAUGUUUGUAAUGAAUUCUGGAACCAAUCGGGAGAUUAAAAUCAGCAAAGCAUAUUCAUCCGUCCAGCUAGCCCACCCAAAUCCCUCACUCCCCGCGUGCGUCUCCUCUUCCUUCCCUCACGUCGCCGCCGGCCCAUAUCGAAGACAGAGAGAAAGAGCAGGGCACUCACGCAACCCUUUCUCACUGCCGGCUCGUCUCCCCUCCCACCUCAGCGCCGCUGCCUCUGUCUGCUCCGCCUCACUCUCCUCCGUCCCUCAGCGCGCCACGCCAUCUCCACAGGGUCCAGCCUCCACCGAAGCCGAUCUCUCCGCUGAGCACGCCCCGCACCGCCGUUGCUGUCGUGGGCUCCUCGGCACCGCUGCAGACGGGGAGGCGGCCUGUGGGAGGGCCCUAAAUGUGGCCGACGACUCCAUCCCCGCUCGCAUGUGGCGGCGGCCAGCCCAGCUCCGCCUCUUCCGACCCAUCUUCUUGGGCAUCAUUGGUAGUGAAGGAGGACUCUUGCAGGUGCUACGUGACUUCACUGGUCGCGUUAUUGACUGGGAUUUCGAGUACGACAACUUCACAAAAAAUGUUUCAAAUUUUAUCCCACUUGAUUUCCAGUUUGAACUUUGGUCGAAGAACUUGGUUAUUCUUGUUCUGAUUGUUGACACAUCUUCGCCGCGGAGCUCGAAGGCUGCUACUAUUACUUCUUGCGCCAUUAUUUGGCAACGUACUGCUGCGGUGUCCAGAGAUGACACCAUUAGUUUGGUUGUGGCGCCAACUGGCUAUCUCGACAACAUUGACGCUGAAGUUAUCGAGCCUCCGAAGAAUGGGAUGCCAAGGGUUCAUAAUUGUCGUCCAACUUGCAGCAGUGAAUUGGGUAACAUAAGAUGCCUUGCUUUGGAGAAGGUUGGCGCCUCUCUAGAGGUUCUGUAA
rnacentral:rRNA from 1 species